GUGGAUUUCUAUGACACAGGAAAGAACAGGACCUCUUUGUUGCUCUAGAUCAUCCUUGAACACAAGUCUUGCAACAUCAAGACUUCUGUGAGUCUGGAAUUAGCAGGGAGGUGACAGGAUGCUUAGCUGGCUUGAGAAGGUUGUGCCUCAGCCUCCUGAGACUGCCCAUGUCCCAGGAGAAAAGGAUGAAAAAAAAGAGGAACCCAAGGUAGUGACUGUGGAACCCCAGUCUGCAAAGGUGGAGCAGCCACCAAAAAGAGACACCAGAGCAGCAGAACCUCCCAAAAGCAAAGGCACAGAAGGCGUAGAGAAGAAAGUAGAACCUGCCAUGACCCAUGAGCCAGGACCAGCACCAGCAUCUGCAGCAGAAAGCACUGGAGGAACUGUCCUCUCCUGGCUGUCUCAGGGGCUGGAAAAGUUUGUUCCUCAACCAGCAGAAAGGCUGCAGAGCCUUGGGAGGAGCUUUGAGACCAGUCUGGAUAUCAUUCAGCAGGCUGAAGUCCCACCUGUCCAGGAACUGGAUGUUGUCAUACAAGGUUUGGAAGUGGAGUCAUUAACUGGCUGGUGCAGGGUUUUGAGAAAAUGGUACCUCAGCCAGAGAAAAAGCCUGAGGUCUGUACUCAGCAGCCUGUUGUAUAUCAACCUGCAAACAGCUGUCAGGAAGCAAAGGAAAAGAAGCCUGAGGAGACUGCCAAAAUAG
rnacentral:lncRNA from 1 species